rnacentral:rRNA from 1 species
GUACCAAGGUCACGGAUACAGUUUGAUCCUGGCUCAUUUGUCGUAGAAUCGGCCUGGGAGUGGGGGAUUACGUCCGGAAACGGGCGCUAAUACCGCACACGUCCUGAGGGAGAAAGUGGGGGAUCUUCGGACCUCACGCUAUCAGAUGAGCCUAGGUCGGAUUAGCUAGUUGGUGGGGUAAAGGCCUACCAAGGCGACGAUCCGUAACUGGUCUGAGAGGAUGAUCAGUCACACUGGAACUGAGACACGGUCCAGACUCCUACGGGAGGCAGCAGUGGGGAAUAUUGGACAAUGGGCGAAAGCCUGAUCCAGCCAUGCCGCGUGUGUGAAGAAGGUCUUCGGAUUGUAAAGCACUUUAAGUUGGGAGGAAGGGCAGUAAGUUAAUACCUUGCUGUUUUGACGUUACCAACAGAAUAAGCACCGGCUAACUUCGUGCCAGCAGCCGCGGUAAUACGAAGGGUGCAAGCGUUAAUCGGAAUUACUGGGCGUAAAGCGCGCGUAGGUGGUUCAGCAAGUUGGAUGUGAAAUCCCCGGGCUCAACCUGGGAACUGCAUCCAAAACUACUGAGCUAGAGUACGGUAGAGGGUGGUGGAAUUUCCUGUGUAGCGGUGAAAUGCGUAGAUAUAGGAAGGAACACCAGUGGCGAAGGCGACCACCUGGACUGAUACUGACACUGAGGUGCGAAAGCGUGGGGAGCAAACAGGAUUAGAUACCCUGGUAGUCCACGCCGUAAACGAUGUCGACUAGCCCUUGGGAUCCUUGAGAUCUUAGUGGCGCAGCUAACGCGAUAAGUCGACCGCCUGGGGAGUACGGCCGCAAGGUUAAAAUUCAAAUGAAUUGACGGGGGCCCGCACAAGCGUGGAAGCAGGUGGUUUAAUUCAAACCACGCGAAAAAACCUUACCUGGGCUUGACAUGGUUAGAAAUUUUCCAGAGAUGGAUUGGUGCCUUCGGGAAAUCAAAAAACAGGUUCUGCAGGGGUUUCUUCCCCCCCCGGGCGGGGAAAAUUUGGGUUAUUCCCCUUAA